UUUAGAGGUGGUUAAAACAU
rnacentral:siRNA from 1 species